CGGUGUUCAACUGGCGUGCCCGCGGGACGUCCUGCCGGUGAGCUCAGCCCGCGAGGGCGGCUCAACUUGAAAUCCCAUCGCGGUGCUCUUCAUUGAGUGUCGAGGUGGGCCGGCACGAUUACUUUUGAACAAAUUAGAGCGCUUAAAGCAGGCUAAAAUUUUGCCUGAAUACUGUGUAUAUGGAAUAAUGGAAUAGGACCUCGGUUCUAUUUUGUUGGUUUUCGGAACCCCGAGGUAAUGAUUAAUAGGAACGGAUGGGGGCAUUCGUAUUGCGACGUUAGAGGUGAAAUUCUUGGAUCGUCGCAAGACGGACUAAAGCGAAAGCAUUUGCCAAAAACGCUUUCAUUGAUCAAGAACGAAAGUUAGAGGUUCGAAGGCGAUCAGAUACCGCCCUAGUUCUAACCAUAAACUAUGCCAGCUAGCGAUCCGCCGACGUCCCUCUGAUGACUCGGCGGGCAGCUUCCGGGAAACCAAAGCUUUUGGGUUCCGGGGGAAGUAUGGUUGCAAAGCUGAAACUUAAAGGAAUUGACGGAAGGGCACCCACCAGGAGUGGAGCCUGCGGCUUAAUCCUGACUCAACACGGGAAACCUCACCAGGCCCAGACACUGGAAGGAUUGACAGAUUGAGAGCUCUUUCUUGAUUCAGUGGGUGGUGGUGCAUGGCCGUUCUUAGUCGGUGGAGCGAUUUGUCAGGUUAAUUCCGAUAACGGACGAGACUCUGACCUGAUAACUAGACGCACUUGCGGCAUCUCAAAGGUCCGCCGGCGGCUGGCUUUGCGCCCGUCGUCGCGCGCGAUUUUUACUGCCGGCGUACAAUAAAUUCUUCUUAGAGGGACAAGUGG
rnacentral:rRNA from 1 species